AGCAGCCGCGGUAAUUCCAGCUCCAAUAGCGUAUAUUAAAGUUGUUGCAGUUAAAAAGCUCGUAGUUGAAUUUCGGGAUUAAUAUGUUGGUCGUGCCUUGGUACGUACUGGCAUUAUUGAUUCCUACCUUCUGAAGAACCUCGAUGUCAUUAAUUUGGUGUCUUGGGGAAUCAGGACCGUUACUUUGAAAAAUUAGAGUGUUUAAAGCAGGCUCGCGCUUGAAUACAUUAGCAUGGAAUAAUGAAAUAGGACGUUUGAUUCUAUUUUGUUGGUUUCUAGGAUCGACGUAAUGAUUAAUAGGGAUAGUUGGGGGCAUUAGUAUUCAAUUGUCAGAGGUGAAAUUCUUGGAUUUAUUGAAGACUGACUACUGCGAAAGCAUUUGCCAAGGAUGUUUUCAUUAAUCAAGAACGAAAGUUAGGGGAUCGAAGACGAUCAGAUACCGUCGUAGUCUUAA
rnacentral:misc_RNA from 1 species